GACGAACGCUGGCGGCGUGCCUAAUACAUGCAAGUUGAGCGAUGAAGAUUGGUGCUUGCACCAAUUUGAAGAGCAGCGAACGGGUGAGUAACGCGUGGGGAAUCUGCCUUUGAGCGGGGGACAACAUUUGGAAACGAAUGCUAAUACCGCAUAAUAACUUUAAACAUAAGUUUUAAGUUUGAAAGAUGCAAUUGCAUCACUCAAAGAUGAUCCCGCGUUGUAUUAGCUAGUUGGUGAGGUAAAGGCUCACCAAGGCGAUGAUACAUAGCCGACCUGAGAGGGUGAUCGGCCACAUUGGGACUGAGACACGGCCCAAACUCCUACGGGAGGCAGCAGUAGGGAAUCUUCGGCAAUAGACGAAAGUCUGACCGAGCAACGCCGCGGGAGUGAAGAAGGUUUUCGGAUCGUAAAACUCUGUUGGUAGAGAAGAACGUUGGUGAGAGUGGAAAGCUCAUCAAGUGACGGUAACUACCCAGAAAGGGACGGCUAACUACGUG
rnacentral:rRNA from 1 species